GUUCGGACACCGGUAGGAUUGACAGAUCGAUAGCUCUUUCUCGAUUCGGUGGGUGGUGGUGCAUAGCCGUUCUUAGUUGGUGCAGCGAUCCGUCUGAUUGAUUCCGAUUGGCAGAAUUUGAACUCAGAAUGUAAAGACAGAUGAAACACUGCUAAGCAUUUCCCUUGGUUUGC
rnacentral:ncRNA from 1 species